UACGAAGGGAGCUAGCGUUGUUCGGAAUUACUGGGCGUAAAGCGCACGUAGGCGGCUUUUUAAGUCAGGGGUGAAAUCCCGGAGCUCAACUCCGGAACUGCCCUUGAAACUGGGAAGCUAGAAUCUUGGAGAGGCGAGUGGAAUUCCGAGUGUAGAGGUGAAAUUCGUAGAUAUUCGGAAGAACACCAGUGGCGAAGGCGACUCGCUGGACAAGUAUUGACGCUGAGGUGCGAAAGCGUGGGGAGCAAACAGG
rnacentral:rRNA from 1 species